CACGUAGGCACCAAGCGUUGUCCGGAUUUAUUGGGCGUAAAGAGCUCGUAGGCGGUUUGUCACGUCUGCUGUGAAAUCCCGAGGCUCAACCUCGGGCCUGCAGUGGGUACGGGCAGACUGGAGUGCGGGUAGGGGAGAAUGGAAUUCCUGGUGUAGCGGUGGAAUGCGCAGAUAUCAGGAGGAACACCGAUGGCGAAGGCAGUUCUCUGGGCCGUAACUGACGCUGAGGAGCGAAAGCGUGGGGAGCGAACAGG
rnacentral:rRNA from 1 species